rnacentral:rRNA from 1 species
UACGGGGGGGCAAGCGUUGUUCGGAAUUACUGGCGUAAAGGGCUCGUAGGCGGCCAACUAAGUCAGACGUGAAAUCCCUCGGCUUAACCGGGGAACUGCGUCUGAUACUGGAUGGCUUGAGGUUGGGAGAGGGAUGCGGAAUUCCAGGUGUAGCGGUGAAAUGCGUAGAUAUCUGGAGGAACACCGGUGGCGAAGGCGGCAUCCUGGACCGAUUCUGACGCUGAGGAGCGAAAGCCAGGGAGCAAACGGG